UCCUGUGUGGCUCAGUUGGUAAGAGCAUGGCGCUUGCAACGCCAAGGUUAUGGGUUCGAAUCCCACAGGGGAC